CUUAUUAAGAUCCAAAGGUAUGGGUCAAGCCUACCCCCUAGCGGCGCGUUUCAGUGUGAAGGGGUGCCGUGAACAGCCGCUUUUUAUUUGGCUUGCCGCAUAUGGCAUGGUAAUAGGCUAUUCAACGGUAGCAGGCGACUACCACAUUUUUCGUAAGUUUCUGUCAUAUGUUGGAUUACACGGUUUCGAACAACAUUACAAGAAAUGGGAAAUACAAGAGUGUGUUGUAUUUGUGGUGUUUCUACAGUUUAUAAAAAGAAGAAUAGAAAUUCCCGUAGUUUUUUUAAGUUUCCAAACCCGAAUAUCAAAAAGUUAUUGCCAUUUGUUAAGGAUCUGUUGGAAAGGAGGCUUGUUGCAUGGAAAGAAGUUGUUGGAACGAAUUAUGAUAAUUUCCCUAUUGGACUUAUUUGUGUUUGUUCUGACCACUUCCAAUCAGGUAAACCAGCUAACAUUUGCAAUGUAAACGAUAUUGCAAGCUUUAGAUGUUGGUGCUACUUGAUCUUCAUCAGCAUUCCAAGCAGUUUCAGUUCUACGACUGGGGAGUUCAUGCUCAGCAACAGCAAGUUGCAGCAAUGCACUAACAUGAAUGCAGACUCUCCCAAGCCUAUUUUAAUACAACAAUAAAUGAUUACUAGCA